AUUGAACGCUGGCGGCAGGCCUCACACAUGCAAGUCGAACGAGUGGCGGACGGGUGAGUAAUGUCUGGGAAACUGCCUGAUGGAGGGGGAUACCUACUGGAAACGGUAGCUAAUACCGCCUACCAUCGGAUGUGCCCAGAUGGGAUUAGCUAGUAGGGUUGGUAAAGGAUCAACUCGGCGACGAUCCAUAGCUGGUCUGAGAGGAUGACCAGCCACACUGUAAAUGGGGCACGGUCCAGACGCCUAUGGGAGGAAGCAGUGGUGAAGAUUGCACAAGGGGCGGAAGCCUGAUGCAGCCAUGCCGCGUGUAGGAAGAAGGCCUUCGGGUUGUAAAGUACUUGCAGCGGGGAGGCGUUACCCGCAGAAGAAGCACCGGCUAACUCCGUGCCAGCAGCCGCGGUAAUAC
rnacentral:rRNA from 1 species